GCCUAUAGCUCAGCUGGUUAGAGCGCACGCCUGAUAAGCUUGAGGUCGGUGGUUCGAGUCCACUUAGGCC
rnacentral:tRNA from 1 species